rnacentral:rRNA from 1 species
UACGUAGGGGGCAAGCGUUGUCCGGAAUCAUUGGGCGUAAAGCGCGUGUAGGCGGUUCGGUAAGUCCGCUGUGAAAGUCGGGGGCUCAACCCUCGGAUGCCGGUGGAUACUGUCGAGCUUGAGUACGGAAGAGGCGAGUGGAAUUCCUGGUGUAGCGGUGAAAUGCGCAGAUAUCAGGAGGAACACCAAUGGCGAAGGCAGCACUCUGGGACGGUACUGACGCUGAGACGCGAAAGCGUGGGGAGCAAACAGG